AUUGAACGCUGGCGGCAGGCCUAACACAUGCAAGUCGAACGCGUGGCGGACGGGUGAGUUAUGUCUGGGAAUUCGCCCGAUGGAGGGGGAUCACUUCUGGAAACUGUAUCUAAUACCGUAUACUAGUGUAUGCGCCUAGAUGGGUUUAGCUAGUAGGUGGGGAAAAGGCUCACCUAGGCGACGACCCCUAGCUGGUCUGAGAGGAUGACCAGCAACACUGGAACUGAGACACGGUCCAGACUCCUACGGGAGGCAGCAGUGGGGAAUAUUGCACAAUGGGCGCAAGCCUGAUGCAGCCAUGCCGCGUGUAUGAAGAAGGCCUUCGGGUUGUAAAGUACUUUCAGUGGGGAGGCGUUACCCGCAGAAGAAGCACCGGCUAACUCCGUGCCAGCAGCCGCGGUAAUAC
rnacentral:rRNA from 1 species